rnacentral:tRNA from 1 species
GCCGGGGUGGCGAAAUUGGCAUACGCACUUGACUUAAGAUCAAGCGCCGCAAGGCAUGCGGGUUCGAGUCCCGCCCCCGGCA